GACGAACGCUGGCGGCGUGCUUAACACAUGCAAGUCGAACGGAAAGGCCCUGCUUUUGUGGGGUGCUCGAGUGGCGAACGGGUGAGUAACACGUGAGUAACCUGCCCUUGACUUUGGGAUAACUUCAGGAAACUGGGGCUAAUACCGGAUAGGAGCUCCUGCUGCAUGGUGGGGGUUGGAAAGUUUCGGCGGUUGGGGAUGGACUCGCGGCUUAUCAGCUUGUUGGUGGGGUAGUGGCUUACCAAGGCUUUGACGGGUAGCCGGCCUGAGAGGGUGACCGGCCACCUUGGGACUGAGAUACGGCCCAGACUCCAACGGGAGGCAGCAGUGGGGAAUAUUGCACAAUGGGCGGAAGCCUGAUGCAGCAACGCCGCGUGCGGGAUGACGGCCUGCGGGUUGUAAACCGCUUUCGCCUGUGACGAAGCGUGAGUGACGGUAAUGGGUAAAGAAGCACCGGCUAACUACGUG
rnacentral:rRNA from 1 species